AGUGAACGCUGGCGGUAGGCCUAACACAUGCAAGUCGAACGGCAGCACAGUAAGAGCUUGCUCUUACGGGUGGCGAGUGGCGGACGGGUGAGGAAUACAUCGGAAUCUACUUUUUCGUGGGGGAUAACGUAGGGAAACUUACGCUAAUACCGCAUACGACCUACGGGUGAAAGCAGGGGAUCUUCGGACCUUGCGCGAUUGAAUGAGCCGAUGUCGGAUUAGCUAGUUGGCGGGGUAAAGGCCCACCAAGGCGACGAUCCGUAGCUGGUCUGAGAGGAUGAUCAGCCACAGUGGAACUGAGACACGGUCCUGACUCCUACGGGAGGCAGCAGUGGGGAAUAUUGGACAAUGGGCGCAAGCCUGAUCCAGCCAUACCGCGUGGGUGAAGAAGGCCUUCGGGUUGUAAAGCCCUUUUGUUGGGAAAGAAAAGCAGCAGGUUAAUACCCCGCUGUUCUGACGGUACCCAAAGAAUAAGCACCGGCUAACUUCGUG
rnacentral:rRNA from 1 species